rnacentral:rRNA from 1 species
CCUACGGGUGGCAGCAGGGGGGAAUAUUGCACAAUGGGGGAAACCCUGAUGCAGCGACGCCGCGUGAGUGAAGAAGUAUUUCGGUAUGUAAAGCUCUAUCAGCAGGGAAGAAAAUGACGGUACCUGAUGAAGAAGCCCCGGCUAACUACGUGCCAGCAGCCGCGGUAAUACGUAGGGGGCAAGCGUUAUCCGGAUUUACUGGGUGUAAAGGGAGCGUAGACGGCAGCUCAAGUCUGGAGUGAAAUGCCGGGGCUUAACCCCGGAACUGCUUUGGAAACUGUGCAGCUAGAGUGCAGGAGAGGUAAGUGGAAUUCCUAGUGUAGCGGUGAAAGGCGUAGAUAUUAGGAGGAACACCAGUGGCGAAGGCGGCUUUCUGGACUGUAAAUGACGUUGAGGCUCGAAAGCGUGGGGAGCAAACAGGAUUAGAUACCCGGGUAGUC